GUCACGGAUUGAGCUUUGAUGAGCUGGGUUUUCUUGAGCUCCGGAUCAUGUUUUUCCUCUUCACUUAUUCUGGACUCUGUGGUUAAAGUCAUUGUGUUCCCAAAGUCAUGUUCCAGCAUAUGCAUUUUUGAGUUUUAUUUGACCAUUUCGAGAAAUACAAGAUUCACUAGGCUUCUGGGUAGGUAUCUAGAAAUAAAAAUUGCUUAGUGUUGUUGCUAUGCCAUUUCUUCUCUUUUGCUCUUAAAUUUUUCUAUGUGAGGAUUUUUUUGUAGCAGCUUUUUAGUCUUAAAAAGCUCUGGUUCCUUCUCUAUCUUGGAGGUAAUAGUGACAGUGAUCUCCCAAGGACCUUGUGAAGAUUAAUUCCACAAAUGAUUGCAAGAUGAAUAUGCUGCAAAAUAAAUGCCACCCACUAUUGCCA
rnacentral:lncRNA from 1 species